rnacentral:rRNA from 1 species
UACGUAGGGCGCAAGCGUUGUCCGGAAUUAUUGGGCGUAAAGAGCUCGUAGGCGGCUUGUCACGUCUGCUGUGAAAUCCCGGGGCUCAACCCCGGGCGUGCAGUGGAUACGGGCUGGCUAGAGGCAGGCAGGGGAGAACGGAAUUCCCGGUGUAGCGGUGAAAUGCGCAGAUAUCGGGAGGAACACCCGUGGCGAAAGCGGCUCUCUGGAACGGUACUGACGCUGAGACGCGAAAGCGUGGGGAGCGAACAGG